GACGAACGCUGGCGGCGUGCUUAACACAUGCAAGUCGAACGGAAAGGCCCUGCUUUUGUGGGGUGCUCGAGUGGCGAACGGGUGAGUAACACGUGUGUAACCUGCCCUUCACUUUGGGAUAACUUCUGGAAACUGGGGCUAAUACCGGAUAUGAUCUUUUUCUUCAUGGUGGUGGUUGGAAAGUUUCGGCGGUUGGGGAUGGUCUCGCGGCUUAUCAGCUUGUUGGUGGGGUUGUGGCUUACCAAGGCUUUGACGGGUAGCCGGCCUGAGAGGGUGACCGGCCACAUUGGGACUGAGAUACGGCCCAGACUCCUACGGGAGGCAGCAGUGGGGAAUAUUGCACAAUGGGCGGAAGCCUGAUGCAGCAACGCCGCGUGCGGGAUGACGGCCUUCGGGUUGUAAACCGCUUUCGCCUGUGACGAAGCGUGAGUGGCGGUAAUGGGUAAAGAAGCACCGGCUAACUACGUG
rnacentral:rRNA from 1 species